rnacentral:rRNA from 1 species
GACGAACGCUGGCGGCGUGCUUAACACAUGCAAGUCGAACGGAAAGGCCCUGCUUUUGUGGGGUGCUCGAGUAGCGAACGGGUGAGUAACACGUGAGUAACCUGCCCUUGACUUUGGGAUAACUUCAGGAAACUGGGGCUAAUACCGGAUAGGAGCUCCUGCUGCAUGGUGGGGGUUGGAAAGUUUCGGCGGUUGGGGAUGGACUCGCGGCUUAUCAGCUUGUUGGUGGGGUAGUGGCUUACCAAGGCUUUGACGGGUAGCCGGCCUGAGAGGGUGACCGGCCACAUUGGGACUGAGAUACGGCCCAGACUCCUACGGGAGGCAGCAGUGGGGAAUACUGCACAAUGGGCGGAAGCCUGAUGCAGCAACGCCGCGUGCGGGAUGACGGCCUUCGGGUUGUAAACCGCUUUCGCCUGUGACGAAGCGUGAGUGACGGUAAUGGGUAAAGAAGCACCGGCUAACUACGUG